UCAAGCUAGUAAGGGCAUUCGGUGGAUGCCUUGGCACCAAGAGGCGAUGAAGGACGUGGCAAAACUGCGAUAAGCCACGGGGAGCCGUAAGCAGGCGUUGAUCCGUGGAUCUCCGAAUCGGGAAACCGACACUGAGGAACGUCAGUGUGGCUUCCGGCUGAAUUCAUAGGCCGGAGGUAGCGAACGAGGGGAACUGAAACAUCUCAGUACCCGCAGGAAAAGAAAUCAACCGAGAUUCUCCUAGUAGCGGCGAGCGAACGGGGAGGAGCCCAAACCUGAUCCGUGCCAAGCUGGUAGGCGUUGCGGAUCGGGGGUUGCAGGACCUGGUGGAGCCGGCUACCGACGGCUCGCUGGUGGCUUGGGUCUAGCCGAACGAUCUGGGAAGGUCGACCGGAGCGGGUGAGAGUCCCGUAGGCGAAAUGUGGCAAGCGUGGGUGAUCGGGCACCUGAGUACCGCGGAGCACGUGGAAUUCCGUGGGAAGCUGGGGGGACCACCCUCCAAGGCGAAAUACUCGUGACGACCGAUAGUGAACGAGUACCGUGAGGGAAAGGUGAAAAGAACCCCGGAAGGGGAGUGAAAUAGAUCCUGAAACCGCAUGCUUACAAAAAGUCGGAGCCCGCAAGGGUGACGGCGUACCUUUUGUAUAAUGGGUCAGCGACUUAUAUUCUGUAGCAAGGUUAACCGAAUAGGGGAGCCGUAGGGAAACCGAGUCUUAAUAGGGCGACUAGUUGCAUGCCGUAGACCCGAAACCGGGUGACCUAUCCAUGGCCAGGUUGAAGCGAGGGUAAAACUUCGUGGAGGACCGAACCACGUUGCUGUUGAAAAAGCAUGGGAUGAGCUGUGGAUAGCGGAGAAAUUCCAAUCGAACUCGGAGAUAGCUGGUUCUCCCCGAAAUGCAUUUAGGUGCAGCGUUGCGUGUUUCGUGCCGGAGGUAGAGCACUGGAUAGGCGAUGGGCCCCACCGGGUUACUGACCUUAGCCAAACUCCGAAUGCCGGUAAGUGAGAGCAUGGCAGUGAGACUGCGGGGGAUAAGCUCCGUAGUCGAGAGGGAAACAGCCCAGAACAUCAGCUAAGGCCCCUAAGCGUGUGCUAAGUGGGGAAGGAUGUGGAGUUGCACAGACAACCAGGAGGUUGGCUUGGAGGCAGCCAUCCUUGAAAGAGUGCGUAAUAGCUCACUGGUCAAGUGAUUCCGCGCCGACAAUGUAGCGGGGCUCAAGUACACCGCCGAAACCGUGGCAUUCAAGCUUUUGUUUGGAUGGGUAGGGGAGCGUCGUGCACGAGGUGAAGCCAGCGGGGAACUUCUGGUGGAUUGUGUACGAGUGAGAAUGCAGGCAUGAGUAGCGAAAGACGGGUGAGAAACCCGUCCGCCGGAUGACCAAGGGUUCCAGGGUCAAGCUAAUCUGCCCUGGGUAAGUCGGGACCUAAGGCGAGGCCGACAGGCGUAGUCGAUGGAUAACCGGUUGAUAUUCCGGUACCCGCUGUGAAGCGUCAAACAUCGAACCCAUUAAUGCUAAGGCCGUGAAGCCGCCCUGAUCUCUUCGGAGUUGAGGGGAGUGGUGGAGCCGCUGACCCAAGGUGGUAGUAGGUGAGUGAUGGGGUGACGCAGGAAGGUAGUCCAUCCCGGGCGGUGGUUGUCCCGGGGUAAGGGUGUAGGACGCAGGGUAGGCAAAUCCGCCUUGCACAUAGUCUGAGACCUGAUGCCGAGCCGAUUGUGGUGAAGUGGAUGAUCCUAUGCUGUCGAGAAAAGCCUCUAGCGAGUUUCGAGCGGCCCGUACCCCAAACCGACACAGGUGGUCAGGGUGAGAAUCCCAAGGCGCUUGAGAGAACUCCGGUUAAGGAACUAGGCAAAUUGUAGCCGUACCUUCGGAAGAAGGCUAGCCUCUUGGUGUGUAGUGCACAACGAAGCAUCGGGAGGUCGCAGAGAAAUGGGGGUUGCGACUGUUUACCAAAAACACAGGUCUCUGCCAACCCGCAAGGGGACGUAUAGGGGCUGACACCUGCCCAGUGCCGGAAGGUUAAGAGGAGCGGUCAGGCGCAAGCCGAAGCUGCGAAUUGAAGCCCCGGUGAACGGCGGCCGUAACUAUAACGGUCCUAAGGUAGCGAAAUUCCUUGUCGGGUAAGUUCCGACCCGCACGAAUGGCCUCAUGAGUGGAGCACUGUCUCAACGAAGGACCCGGCGAAAUUGAAGUACGUGUGAAGAUGCGCGUUACCCGCACUAGGACAAAAAGAC
rnacentral:rRNA from 1 species